UAAGAGGAAGGGUAAGCCGAUGUGGGC
rnacentral:piRNA from 1 species